UCUGUUGUUAACUGCAAUCACUCUAUACAUGUAUGAUAGAACUCACCUGUGCCUGGAGACCUAAAUUGUAAAGAAACAAUCAGAGGGAUAGUCAGAGCUCAGCUGAGAAGAGUUGUACUGCUACUGGCAUGAGCCUGACUCCACACACUCCCCUAUCUCUCUGUGGUAAGGGAGACCCACUGCAGCUGUGGACUCUGCUGGUCUCAGUGGACCUGCAGUUUUGCAUCUGUUUUUCAGUCUUAAAUGAAUGAUAUUUUUCACUGAGAAGAGAGAUUUAUUUAAAAGGCAGUUUUUUGUCAACAUCAAAUGAUCUUCAGUUUAGAAGAUAUCUUCAGGGUCCUGUAAGUCUUCAGCUCUCUUGUUCCCCUUUCAUGUCAUAAAUAACAUGCU
rnacentral:lncRNA from 1 species